UCGCUCGCAAGGAGCAUGCGCGACCCGCGGUCGCCGGCGAGAAUGCGGUGUGCUCCCAGGGUUAGAAAUGAACGAGCGACGUGACAUAAGAGGUCCCAAGGGAGCAAACCUGAAAGCCAGAACCUCCUGAAUACACAGACUGCCAGGGGGCCAGAUGAUGUUAGACACUCCGAAGAUAUAAGAAGCAUCACUUCCUUCAGAUAGAGUCGGUGAGACUAUGAUGUAAUGAGAGUUCUCCUUGUGUUCCUCAGGAAGGCAGUUUGUGCCUUUCUACUUGAGGCAUCAUCUUUGAUGGCUAAACAAUUCUGCAACUUGGCCAGCGCAGUGGCUCACGCCUGUAAUCCCAACACUUUGGGAGGCCGAGGCGAGAGGAUCACUUGAGGUCAGGAAUUCGAGACCAGCCUGGACAACAUAAUGAGAAUUCGUCACUACAAAAAACAAACAAACAAACAAAAACCUAAAAAUUAGCUGGAUUUGGUGGCGCAUGUCUGUAGUCCCAGCUAUUUGGGAGGCUGAGGUAGGAGAAUCGCUUGAGCCCGGGAGAUCAAGGCUGCAGUGAUCAAGCCACUCCACUCCAGCCUGGGGGUCAGAGCAAGCCCCUGUCUCAAUAACAGUUUUGCAGCCUGAUUGUUAACGAAUGUUACUAGUUACAAACUUGUAAUAAUGUGGUGAAGAUAAUACCUAGUGAAUGUCUGCUGGGGUGGGGCAAUAUGCUGCCAUGUGCUUUAUAUGCAUAACCUAAAUACCCCAAAAUCCUCUAAAAUAGCUAUUAUUUUCUCCGUUUUUACUAAUGAGCAAAUUUUAAAGCUUAGAGAAACUUUUCUAAGUUCAUAUACUUAGGAAAUAAAGGCAACAAUUUCAUUGAGACACAGAUCUGCCUAAUUCAAACCUUGUACUUUACAUUUUCUCUUUGAGAUGGUAAUUUAAUACGAGCUAAACUUUAAAAUCUAGUUGAAAGUAAGACCAUGAAAUGCCAAAAUCACAAGGCUUUAAAGGAAGGGAUGAAAGGGAUGCAUGAAUGUUGAAAACUGUGAUUAAGUUCAUGGACAGGAAUCAGAAUGGAAUUUAAUACUGUAAAUGGUUCAUGUUUUAUACCCAUGCCUUUUUAGUAUUUAAGGCUUUUAUGUAUGUGCAUGCCUACAUUCCUAAUUUUAAAAAAAAUUGAUGUGAAGCUAGGUUUGGGAUUGCUAGACUAAUUAUUUAGAGAGAUAGACCUUUGAGAAUAACAGGAAGAUUAUGAGACCAAGACAAUGUUCAUUAAAAACAAACAACAACAAUGAAAAAAAAACAAAAACAAAAA
rnacentral:lncRNA from 1 species